GGAGGGUGGUGGCGGUGGGGCGGGGCCCAGAUGUGUAGCGGGAGGUGGUGGGGCCUGAGGAGGGUGGCGAGAGGUGGGGUGGGGCCCAGGUGAGUAGCGGGCGAAGGCGGGGCCUGAGGAGGACUGAGCUGGGGCGGGACCCAGCAGCUGCUCCAAGCUUUUCUGCCAUUUGAAGCUUCUUCUGGGAGCCAGCUGUGACCAGAGGAAUAGCUCCAGCCAUCCGGUUAAAAGUUUAACAACCGGAACAGCUCCAGUCUGCAGCUCCCAGCGUGAUCGACGCAGAAGACAGGUGAUUUCUGCAUUUCCGACUGAGGUAACUGAUUCAUCUCACUGGGACUGGUUUGACAGUGGGUGCAGCCCACGGAUGGGGAGCUGAAGCAGGGCAGGGCGUCACCUCACCCUGGAAGUGCAAGGGGUCAGGGGAUUUCCCUUUCCUAGCCAAGGGAAGCCGUGACAGACUACCUGGAAAAAUGGGACACUCCUGCCCAAAUACUGCACUUUUCCCAAGAUCUUAGCCACCGGCAGACAAGGAGAUUCUCUCCCAUGCCUGGCUCGGCGGGUUCCACACCCACGGAGCCUUGCUCACUGCUAGUGCAGCAGUCUGAGAUCGAACUGUGAGGCGGCAGCCUGGCUGGGGGAGGGGCGUCCGCUGUUGCUGAGGCUUGAGUAGGUAAACAAAGCAGCCGGGAAGUUCGAACUGGGCAGAGCCCACUGCAGCUCAGUAAGGCCUACUGCCUCUAGACUCCAUCUCUGUGGCCAGGGCAUAGCUGAACAAAAGGCAGCAGACAACUUUUGCAGACUUAAAGGUCCCUGUCUGACAGCUCUGAAGAGAGCAUUGGUUCUCUCAGCACGGUGUUUGAGCUCUGAGAACGGACAGACUGCCUCCUUAAGUGGGUCCCUCACCCCCAUGUAGCCUAACUAGGAGAUACCUCCCAGGAGGGGCCGACAGACACCUCAUAUAGGCACCUGCCUCUCUGGGACGAAGCUUCCAGAGGAAGGAUCAGGAAGUAGUAUUUGCUGUUCUGCAAUAUUUGCUGUUCUGCAGCCUCCGCUGGUGAUACCCAGGAAAACAGGGUCUGGGGUGGACCUCCAGCAAACUCCAACCGACCUGCAGCUGAGGGACCUGACAGUUAGAAGGAAAACUGAAAAACAGAAAGGAAUAGCAU
rnacentral:lncRNA from 10 species